rfam:Ovis aries breed Texel chromosome 7, whole genome shotgun sequence.
UGGUUGAGAUGGUAAAGAACCUGCCUGCAAUGCAGGAGACCCAGGUUUGAUCCCUGG